UACGGGGGGGGGCAAGCGUUGUUCGGAAUUACUGGGCGUAAAGGGCUCGUAGGCGGCCAACUAAGUCAGACGUGAAAUCCCCAGGCUCAACCUGGGAACUGCGUCUGAUACUGGAUGGCUUGAAUUCGGGAGAGGGAUGCAGAAUUCCAGGUGUAGCGGUGAAAUGCGUAGAUAUCUGGAGGAAUACCGGUGGCGAAGGCGGCAUCCUGGACCGACAUUGACGCUGAUGAGCGAAAGCUAGGGGAGCAAACGGGG
rnacentral:rRNA from 1 species